CGAAGAUUAAUAAGACAAGGACUCAGCAGCACUUAGCACAGUGCUUGGCUUACAGAGAGUGCUUGAUAAACGGGAGCGAAUAGUGAUAGGAUCAUUGCUUCCUGUUUUGAGUCUUUCAUUCUGCUGAAAGUGGGGAACCUCAGGCCUGAAAAAGCAAGGACUCACUCACCUAAGGUCGUUUCAGGAAUCAGCAGCGGGGGCAGGACAAGAACCGAUGUGAUAAAAUUCCAUAGCCACCACCGCCCUAUUUGGUGCAGAUCCAACUAAACACACCCUCAAUGACUCUGAGACAAGGCCUCGGGGAGCCAUGAAGAUGACGACAUGAUCGCAGCUCAGCAGGAAGCUCGGUGCUGCCGGAAUGUGGGGAGGCCAUCCGUCUCAUUCAGCGGCCCGGCAGGCCUUAUUAUGAUGAUGAAUUUUCAAGUUAUCAGCACAAAUGCAAUCACCAUCAUAGGCCAAGAGAACCCUCUUCAUCACUCACAGCCCAGUCUGGGACAGCCUCAGGAGGAAA